AGUUAAACCUCAAGUUACCUCACUAACCCCAAAUCAUGCUUUGUAGUACAGGCCUCUGGUGUGUCUGCCCUGUUUCCUUGUGAUCUGGUCUCCCAGCAAUUGUAAGCUGAAUGGAACUCUUUCUUUUUGGUCUCUGGUCUGCUGUCAAUAGUGAGUGAACUGCAGCUUUGCAGCUCUCCCCCUCCAGCUGCUGGGAAGCUGUGCCUUCACGCUUUGACCUGAACGCUUGCAGUUGCAUGACACGCUAUUGAUGGUGACUGUGUUGCUGAUUUUUGUACCAGGUAGGCUUUUGUUAAGUGUGGGUUUUACAUAUUGUUGA